rnacentral:lncRNA from 1 species
AAUCAAACGACCGUCUCAUACCUCGUCUAGUAAUGGGUGCCAAAACACACAACUGCCUUAAUAACCCUUCUAGUAUGAACGUAAUUAAAAUAAUUCUCAACCCCAUUCGACUGAGGGUAGCAUCCACGGUAAGGUUUACCAUAUGCACCAAGUCUGUAGACCCUUUCCUAAUACAUCCGGUAAGUCUUUUUAUUAGACAUCAUUAAUUCAUGCAUAU